rnacentral:rRNA from 1 species
UACGAAGGGGGCUAGCGUUGCUCGGAAUGACUGGGCGUAAAGGGCGCGUAGGCGGCGAUCAAGGUCAGAUGUGAAAUUCCUGGGCUUAACCUGGGGGCUGCACUUGAUACGUGGUGGCUUGAGUGCGGAAGAGGGUCGUGGAAUUCCCAGUGUAGAGGUGAAAUUCGUAGAUAUUGGGAAGAACACCGGUGGCGAAGGCGGCGACCUGGUCCGUGACUGACGCUGAGGCGCGAAAGCGUGGGGAGCAAACAGG